rnacentral:rRNA from 1 species
UGGGGAAUAUUGGGCAAUGGCCGCAAGGCUGACCCAGCGACGCCGCGUGCGGGAGGACGCCUUUCGGGGUGUAAACCGCUGUCGGGGGGGACGAACCCUGCGGGUGUGAAUAGCACCUGGAGCUGACGGUACCCUCAAAGGAAGCGCCGGCUAACUCUGUGCCAGCAGCCGCGGUAAGACAGAGGGCGCAAGCGUUGUUCGGAAUUACUGGGCGUAAAGCGCGCGCAGGCGGAUUGGCAAGUCGGAAGUGAAAUCCCGGGGCUCAACUCCGGGGCUGCUUCCGAAACUGCGAGUCUAGGGACCGGUAGGGGCGGGUGGAAUUCCCGGUGUAGCGGUGGAAUGCGUAGAGAUCGGGAAGAACACCGGUGGCGAAGGCGGCCCGCUGGGCCGGAUCCGACGCUGAGGCGCGAAAGCGUGGGGAGCAAACAGG